rnacentral:lncRNA from 1 species
AAGAAUUACUAAAAUCUCAACCAAAGCCUAAAAAUCAAAUAUUUGACUCUACUGUAUUUAAUGAAAGAAACAAAGAAAAGGUAGGUUUCUCUGUAAAAUUUUGUUAAACACCUAGUGGGUACUAAAGUCAAGAAACUUAUAAACAUUGUGCAUUUUUUGACUUCUAGGAAAGCAUCCGGUACAUAUUAGAAGUUUAAGGAAAAGGAUAAAUGUCGCAUGGAAUUUGGAUGAUGCUUCUUGCACUUGAUCAACAUACAAAUUGAAAACAACCCUUAUAAUGUAAUUUACUCAUUUCAAUAAUUAUACAUAUUUACUUAGAGCAACUUCAUCAAAAUUGCCCCCUGCCACAACAAAAGAGCAAACCGUGUAAAAUUGGAAAUUAAAGAAAAAUAAUAUAAACUCUUGAGUAUAAACUAUAAAAAACUUCAAAAACAAACAAAAAUCAAUGAUAAUUGCAAUAAAUUACUAUUUUGCAUUUAACCAUAAGUAUGUUGCUAUGUUUGUACGAAGAGGUGUUUUCAUUGUACUCAUUUUAAUUUAAUUGUUAUAAUAUCCAAGCCAAUUCAACAUAAUAAUUCAGAAAAACGACUCUUUAGCAACAUAUAGGGCAUGAAAAUUCAACCAAAAGGAGUAAUUAAAAUAAAUUCAACCAUAACAAUUCAACAUAUGAGGUGGUUGUAAAGUGUAAUACUAAAUUCCCAAUUUAAACAAAGAAAUAAUGUCCCGUAAUUAAAGAGGCCUAAAGCUUCAACAUAACCACAAUAAUUGCAUGUGAAGUUGCAUAAAAAUAUAUAAAACUAGGCGAAUGGCCGCACGUUGCGCAGAAACAUUUAUAUAGUUGAAGUUUUUACAAAUAUAUGAUUUUUUAAAUAUAACACUAACGUUCUUGUUAAAUUUGAUAUAAUAAUUUGUAGAUUAAUUUGAUAUAAUAUAUUGAUUAUUUUGAAUUAUAUGAUAAUAUAUAAAUUAUUAUAACGUCAUAAUUCCAAUUGUUUGAAUGACUUUUACUCACGAGUUACACAUCAAUAAAAUUAAAUAUUAUAUAUGGUUUAAUAUUAUUUAUAGUUGUUAUUUUUAACUAAUUUUUUAAAAUUUAUUUUCUUAAUGUUUUAAUUUCUAUCAUUAUAAUUAUUUAAAACAUCAAACAUUAUUUUUUGAUUUUAAAGGUAACUAUAUAAUCAUUUAUAGAGAGUUAUUUUUAACUAUUGUUAUUAUAAGUUAUUUUAAGCUACUUAGUUGAAAAUUUUUAACGAUUAUAUAAACAUAUUUAGUUAAACUGAUAUUACAAUUUAGUUUUUGCAUUUAUCACUAUAAUUUAUCACUUUUAACUAUUUACAAAAUGUUAUUUGGUUUUUUAAUGGAACUGAAAUUUAUAUUUAAGGUGACACUACAAUGUUAUAUUUAAAUUAACAAUUUAAGUAUUUUGUCCAAACUAUUCAAAAGUUGCAGCUUUAAACUGAUAAUGGUUUACAUGCAACAACAUUUUAAAUCUAAUAAGUUAAGUAUAAUAUGUUAAAAUUUAAAGACAUAACUUUAUAAAUAAAAGUAAAUAUAUUAUUUUAAAAUUGAAAUUUAGUCUAUUUAUGAUUACACUUUAUGUUUGAUAUUGAUUUUACCUUAUUAACCAACUUACAAUCAUUAUUAGAAAGACUCUACAAUUUAUCACUUUUAACUAUUUAUAAAAUAAUCUUUGGGUUGUUUAAGUUAAAUCAAAUUUAUAUUUAAGUUGAGCCUAUAAUGUUAUAUUUUAAUUAAUAAUUUAAGUAUUUUAUACAAAUUGUUCAAAAAUUAUACCUUUAAAAUGAUAAUGGUUUACAUCCAACAAUAUAUUAAAACUAAUAAAUUAAGUAUAAUAUGUUAAAAGUUAAAAAACAUAAUUUUAUAAGUAGAAUUAAAGAUAUUAUUUUAAUAUUGAAAUUUAGUUUAUAUAUGAAUACACUUUAGAAUUUAUAUUUGUUUAACCUAAUUACCAAAUUAUAAUUAUUAUUAUAAAGAAAUUGAAAAGUCAUGGGAGUUUCAAAUGAAUGUGGUGAAAUGAAAAAAGAAUGGGGGUUUCAAAUUCAUGAGAUUCAAGAAAAAAUGCUAGCUUUAUAAGUAUGUAUGAUCUUAAUCUUAAUAUUAAUAAAGAAGAAAUCAAAAGGUUCUAUUAAGCAUUUCGUCGAGGAAAUAGUUGGCGAACCUUGAAAUUCUAUAUAAGAACAUCACAUGAUGAUAUAAGUGAAGUCAAUUCCUUUAAAAGGAAAUGAUUGUUGGGGCUAAAGCUUCAACCAAGCCACACUAAUUACAUGUGAUAAAAGAUGAAUAUCAUAAAGAAUCGAGAAUAGGGUGGUGGACGAGGGAAUAACUUUAUAAACCUUUUCUUGUAUUUCUACCUAGGGCCGGUCCAAACGGUGGGCAACCCGGGCGACCGCCCAGGGCCCACGUCUCCAGUGGGCCCAAAUUUUUUGGGCUAUGUAGUGUAUAUAUAUAAAAAAAAUUAUUACCUAAUGANGAAAUGAUUUUUAGGACCUAAAGUUGAUUGAAACUCAAUUUGGCUCAAAAUAUAAACAAUUUAGUUUGCUUUUUAUUUCUAAUUGAGAACGUCUAUAUUGAAGAGUAAUGAUAAUUUUUUGAAUCUUUAUUAUAUUUGUAUUUGAGAGGCCUUUUUUUUCUUUUCCCCCCGGGCCCCAUAUAUGUUUGGACUGGCCCUGUUUCUACCACUUGUAACAAAGUGAAUGGAAGAGGAUGUACAAGAACUUUAAACGAAUUUUAGCAUGAUUGUUGUCUUGUAUCCCAUACCUACAAUUAGAAAAUAAAAAUAUGUAGAAUAAAAAAAGAUAUUACCAUUAGUAACGUUACAAACAUCAUUAAAAAAAUACAUGAAUCUAGAAAAAUGCAUCUAAUGAUGUGACAUCUAAUAGAAAAUAAAAGUACUUCUACUCAAGCAUAUUUAGAAUGGAUCUACACAACAACAUUUUAGCUUCUGAGUUUAAGGAUGAAAUGUGACAUCUAAUAGAAAAUAAAGAAUUUUUGAAUGUAAAGGAACUUUUGAAAAUAUCUUUUAUGGGACAUUAAAGCAAAGAAUGGACAAUGGAAUACAUAUACGAUUUAAAAAUAUUUCAUUGAAAACAUACACACGGGUAGAAAUAGGUUGCAUUCAAAAUAAUUUGAAACAUCAAAAUCAACAAAAGCUUAAUAAAAAUGUAUUUUGAUGAUAGUAAUAAUCUGGUCAAAAGGGGAAAGUUCACACACAGAUAGUUAAUACCCAUGAUCAGAUUAUACCAUCAAAUAGAGAAAGUGUCUUUUGGCGUAAAAUCAAUGUAUCAUGCUAUUGUUGGCUUAAAAUGAAAAUAGCAACUAUUGUUGGUUUAAAAAUAAAUAUAGCAUGUUAUUUUUUUUCUUUAAAAAAGAAAGUGUCAUGCUACUUUUGGCUUAAAAAUGAGAGUAGCAUGCUAUUUUUGCUCCACAAAUGAAAUUAGUGUGCUAUUUUUGUUUAAAAAAUAAAAAUAGAAUGUUAUUUUUUGUCCUAACUAACGAAAGUAACGUGCUAUAUUUACUUUGAAAUGAAAGUACCAUGCUUUAUUUACAUUACAAAUGAAAAUAGCAUGUUAUUUCUUCCAUUGGACCAAAUAAGUUUCAUCAAUGGACUUAAAUAUUUAAAAUAGAAAAAAUUGGAUAAUAUCCUUAAAUUCAACUGACCAUAGGGAUAGAAAAUGGUACUUACUAAAAAAUCAAAUUAGCAUACGUGAGGAUAUUACAAUCAAAUGAAUUUAUAUGUAUAGAAUCAUGUAUAAAUAUUAUAGAAGUUAAUCAUUGAUAAAAAAAAUGUUGAACAUAGUUAUUUGUGUAGCACAUUGAAACAGUUUGUCAAUACACAUAUCAUUUUUAUUAAAAAGUAAUUUAUAAAUUAAUUAUAAAUAAUAAAAAUGCACUUUUCAUCCUAAAAGUUCCAAAAGCACAUCAAAGCUAAUUUGAACUUGGAAAAACUAGUUUCCCAAUUCAUUAUCUUUUCAAUACAUACAAAAUUAUCCAAUUUAUAAAUAAAACCUCCGGUUCUAAAAAUCUCAAAAAGCACAUUACAUUGUUAUUGCCCUUAUAACUUCAAACCAAAAUUCUUCUAUCUUUUGGUCCUUUAAUAUGAAAAUUUUCAUUUUUAUUAUCAUUUUAUUCAAAUAAAUCAUUUUUCUAGAAAUUUCAUGAAUAUUUUGAAUUCAAUUUUCAUGUAUUUUUUAUUUAUGGCCAAAAUACCCUUAGCCUUCAAAAACUCCAACACCAUCCCAAGGCUUUUACAAUAUUUUCAAGUAUGACAUAAACUAUAAAGAGAAAUAGAGAAACAAUUGUCCAUCCCAUGUACCAAAUUUCAAAGAAAAACUUGUAAAAUAAAUGAUAAGAACUUGCAAAAUUAUUUUUCUUAUAUCUGAUUCACAUUUGACUGUAAGCAAUAAAAGUAAACCAAAGUUUUCAUUUCCAUGUAAAUGAACGGAAAUUGCAACCUUUAAAAGUGCAGAAAAAAAAAAGUUUUCAUGAGAAUCAUGAAACUAAAAACACCAACAACAGGAGAUGCAAUUUGAAGGACCCUACUGCAUCCUGUAAUUUCAAAACAAAGGCCUUCAUAAUCCAACCUCUCCCCAGCAUGUUCAAGUUUCUUUAAAUGACCAUUAUUUUCCUCUUUGUGUGAGAAUAUAUUUAUUUAUAAAAUAAUUCAAGACCAAAUUUAAAACUACUUCAAAUAUACCAACUGAAAUUUUUGUAGUUUCAAAGUAAAUCAUUCUUUAAAUGGACACCAUCUCAUGAAAAUAAAAAAUAAAAAUGGAGUUGGGAAUGCUUGCUUUCACCUGUUAUAACAUACUAAUGCCCUCAAUAAGAAGAAUCUUGCAAGGCUAUGUAUAAUCUGGUAAUAUCGACAACACAGGCACCUUCAAAACAGAGAAAAUGUAUUUAAAGAAAACGAUAAAUAAAUCUAGAGCAGAGAAUCUACUGGAAUGUCAAAAAAUUACAAAAAACCAGGAUCGUAAAGAAAUUACAUGAAGGCUUCAUAGUUCUAACCUGACAUCAUCUUAAAACCUUCUUAAUCGAUCAAAGAAAAGCAAGAAUAUUCGGUGACCAAAGCAUUUGUGUGUGUGUGUGUGAGAGAGAGAGAGAGAGAGAGAGAGAGAGAGAUUGUGGUACUCAUUAAAUAUUAAAUAGUCUCUUUCCAUUAAAUCCAAAUUAAAGAAUAACUUGUAAAAUAAAUGAUAAGAACAUAAUACUGAAAAGGGUUUUCUGAGAGAGAGCGCCUGGACAAAAGCAAUUCACGAUUUUGGAUAAAACCAUAACUGAAAACAAUUAUUUGCUACAAGAUUCGUCCUUAAACUGACGGUGUUAAAAAUGUCCAUUAAAAUUGAAAUAACAUGACUAACCUGCUAUCGCAUCAACCUUUUCAAUAAUAGCUACCAAACGUUAAAGUACAAGAGAUAGAUAGAUAAUGGCGAAGGUGAUGGGAAUGAAAGGUAUAUAUCAGAUUUGAGUGAUAAGAGACGGAGAAUUAGGUUAAGAAAUGAACGGACAAAGAAAAUUUAUAAGUGACUACAAAAUCACUUGACAUAACUGAUCUGUGCAUACAAUCGUGGCCAAAUCCUUGGCAGGAAGGUUUGUAGUGUUUGAUCUUCACAAACAGAGGACAAUUGACAAUUUCAUUCACCAUUAAUAUAUAUUUCAUAAUUGAAAUCUAAGACUAUUUUAAGUGCAAACUGAUUAAAGGAAAGCAAUGUAAAAAAAGAAAACGGAUGAAAA